AUUGAACGCUGGCGGCAGGCCUAACACAUGCAAGUCGAGCGGUAACACAGAGGAGCUUGCUCCUUGGGUGACGAGCGGCGGACGGGUGAGUAAUGCCUGGGGAUCUGCCCGAUAGAGGGGGAUAACUACGGGAAACUGUAGCUAAUACCGCAUAAUGUCUACGGACCAAAGUGGGGGCUCUUCGGACCUCAUGCUAUCGGAUGAACCCAGGUGGGAUUAGCUAGUUGGUGAGGUAAUGGCUCACCACGGUGACGAUCUCUAACUGGUUUGGAAGAAUAGCCGGGCACACUGGAACUGAGACACGGUCCAGACUCCUACGGGAGGCAGCAGUGGGGAAUAUGGCACAAUGGGCGCAAGCCUGAUGCAGCCAUGCCGCGUGUGUGAAGAAGGCCUUCGGGUUGUAAAGCACUUUCAGCGGGGAGGAAGGGCCACUAGUUAAUACCUAGUGGCAUUGACGUUACUCGCAGAAGAAGCACCGGCUAACUCCGUGCCAGCCGCCGCGGUAA
rnacentral:rRNA from 1 species